AAACUCAUACAUUUUUAAUCUUCUAUUAAAUUUACAAAAGUUCAAGCAUUCAUAUAAAAUGGUAUGCAGGUGGCAUUAGCUAUGAGUUUUUAACACAUUAAAACAAGGGAACAUCCAUAUGAUUUAUAAAGAUUUACUUUGUAUUUCACUUAUUAACUAUGAAUUUGGCUUAUCUAUAAAGGAUGUAUUGUGUUACGAUUUUUGUAUGUAAUGUGUUAUGAUUUUUUUAU
rnacentral:lncRNA from 1 species